AACGAACGCUGGCGGCAUGCCUAACACAUGCAAGUCGAACGAGACCUUCGGGUCUAGUGGCGCACGGGUGCGUAACGCGUGGGAACUUGCCCUUAGGUUCGGAAUAACUCCCCGAAAGGGGUGCUAAUACCGGAUAAUGUCUUCGGACCAAAGAUUUAUCGCCUUUGGAUGGGCCCGCGUUGGAUUAGCUAGUUGGUAGGGUAAAAGCCUACCAAGGCGAUGAUCCAUAGCUGGUCUGAGAGGAUGAUCAGCCACACUGGGACUGAGACACGGCCCAGACUGCUACGGGAGCAGGAGUGGGGAAUAUUGGACAAUGGGCGAAAGCCUGAUCCAGCAAUGCCGGGUGAGUGAUGAAGGCCUUAGGGUUGUAAAGCUCUUUUACCCGGGAUGAUAAUGACAGUACCGGGAGAAUAAGCUCCGGCUAACUCCGUG
rnacentral:rRNA from 1 species